GCUGGCGGCGUGCCUAACACAUGCAAGUCGAACGAGAAAGUGGAGCAAUCCAUGAGUAAAGUGGCGACCGGGUGAGUAACACGUGACUAACCUACCUUCGAGUGGGGGAUAACCUCGGGAAACCGGGGCUAAUACCGCAUAAUGCCUUCGGGUUAAAGGAGCAAUUCGCUUGAAGAGGGGGUCGCGGCUGAUUAGCUAGUUGGCGGGGUAACGGCCCACCAAGGCGAUGAUCGGUAGCCGGCCUGAGAGGGCGCACGGCCACACUGGAACUGAAACACGGUCCAGACUCCUACGGGAGGCAGCAGUGGGGAAUUUUGCGCAAUGGGGGAAACCCUGACGCAGCAACGCCGCGUGGAGGAUGAAGUCCUUUGGGACGUAAACUCCUUUCGACCGGGACGAUAAUGACGGUACCGGUGGAAGAAGCCCCGGCUAACUUCGUGCCAGCAGCCGCGGUAAUACGAGGGGGGCGAGCGUUGUUCGGAAUUAUUGGGCGUAAAGGGCGCGUAGGCGGUGCGGUAAGUCACCUGUGAAACCUCUAGGCUUAACCUAGAGCCUGCAGGCGAAACUGCC
rnacentral:rRNA from 1 species